GUAGGUGGCAAGCGUUGUCCGGAAUUAUUGGGCGUAAAGCGCGCGCAGGCGGUUCUUUAAGUCUGAUGUGAAAGCCCACGGCUCAACCGUGGAGGGUCAUUGGAAACUGGAGAACUUGAGUACAGAAGAGGAAAGCGGAAUUCCACGUGUAGCGGUGAAAUGCGUAGAGAUGUGGAGGAACACCAGUGGCGAAGGCGGCUUUCUGGUCUGUAACUGACGCUGAGGCGCGAAAGCGUGGGGGAGCAAACAGGAUUAGAUACCCUGGUAGUCCACGCCGUAAACGAUGAGUGCUAAGUGUUAGGGGGUUUUCCGCCCCUUAGUGCUGCAGCUAACGCAUUAAGCACUCCGCCUGGGAGUACGGCCGCAAGGCUG
rnacentral:rRNA from 1 species